rnacentral:rRNA from 1 species
CACGUAGGGUGCGAGCGUUGUCCGGAAUUAUUGGGCGUAAAGAGCUCGUAGGCGGUGUGUCGCGUCGGCCGUGAAAACCUGCAGCUUAACUGUGGGCUUGCGGUCGAUACGGGCAGGCUAGAGUUCGGUAGGGGAGUCUGGAAUUCCUGGUGUAGCGGUGAAAUGCGCAGAUAUCAGGAGGAACACCGGUGGCGAAGGCGGGACUCUGGGCCGAUACUGACGCUGAGGAGCGAAAGCGUGGGGAGCAAACAGG